rnacentral:rRNA from 1 species
GAUGAACGCUGGCGGCGUGCCUAAUACAUGCAAGUCGAGCGAAUGGAUUAAGAGCUUGCUCUUAUGAAGUUAGCGGCGGACGGGUGAGUAACACGUGGGUAACCUGCCCAUAAGACUGGGAUAACUCCGGGAAACCGGGGCCAAUACCGGAUAACAUUUUGAACCGCAUGGUUCGAAAUUGAAAGGCGGCUUCGGCUGUCACUUAUGGAUGGACCCGCGUCGCAUUAGCGAGUUGGGGAGGUAACGGCUCACCAAGGCAACGAUGCGUAGCCGACCUGAGAGGGUGAUCGGCCACACUGGGACUGGGACACGGCCCAAACUCCUACGGGAGGCAGCAGUAGGGAAUCUUCCGCAAUUGACGGAAGUCUGACGGAGCAACGCCGCGUGAGAGAUGAAGGCUUUCGGGUCGUAAAACUCUGUUGUUAGGGAAGAACAAGUGCUAGUUGAAUAAGCUGGCACCUUGACGGUACCUAACCAAAAAGCCACGGCUAACUACGUGCCAGCCGCCGCGGUAA